CUCCAAGCCUACAUAGCUAUGGUCCAUCUCAGUAUCAACCGAGACCUCUCUCAGAAUAUGGUUAUGGACUUCAAAGGUUCCCAGCAUACUUCUAUCCUGAGUAUCCGCAACAAUUCUAUCCUACACCUCCUAUUCAUCCUCACAGCAACCUCAACUUUGGACCAACUCAUAAUUUCAAUCAGCAUUCCAACAUCAACUCCUAUCCACCAGUGAAUUACAAUGUUAUGUCAUCAAAUGCCUUUGAUGACCCUCCUCCUUCUAUUGAUUCCAGGAGCACAACACCAUCUCUAUGGUAUCCGGAUUCAGGUGCUACUAAUCACCUUACAUCAGAU
rnacentral:lncRNA from 1 species